UUUGCUCUAGGUCGUAACCAGCCUUUGAAAAGGGAGAAACCAAAAUGGAAAAGUGACUGUCCCAUGACAGAUGGACAACUGCGCAGCAAGAGGGAUGAAUUCUGGGACACUGAACCAGCUUUUGAAGGCCGGAAAGAGAUCUGGGAUGCCUUGAAGGCUGCUGCACAUGCUUUUGAAAGCAAUGAUCAUGAACUGGCACAGGCAAUCAUUGACGGUGCAAACAUAACACUACCACACGGUGCACUGACAGAGUGCUACGAUGAGCUGGGGAACCGGUACCAGCUGCCAGUCUAUUGCCUGGCACCACCAAUCAACAUGAUAGAGGAAAAGAGUGACAUAGAGACUCUUGAUAUUCCUGAGCCACCUUCCAAUUCUGGACAUGAAUCUCAGCUCCGUCUGCGGCUCUCCACAGGCAAAGACCUCAAGCUUGUGGUCCGCAGCACAGACACAGUGUUUCACAUGAAGAGAUGCUUACAUGCCACAGAGGGUGUGGAGCCAGGCAGCCAUCAGUGGUUCUUCUCUGGCAGGCCUCUCACUGAUAAGAUGAAGCUGGAGGAGCUGAAGAUCCCCAAGGACUAUGUGGUGCAGGUUAUAGUUAGCCAGCCUGUGCAAACCCCACCACCAGUGGAGAACUGA